rnacentral:lncRNA from 1 species
UAUCCAAUAGAUCGCGGAAAUAAGAAAGCUAACACACGAAAACCUAACAAGCCAAGAAGUUCAACCUAUCUAAUAGGAGUCCGAAGAUCUAGACAAGAGGCGAAAGAAAACGUUACCUGAAUUCGGGAUGCCGACAACGAAAGAGCAAGAAAUAAAGAAAAAAGAGGAACGGGAAAGCCUAUAAAGAAGAAGCCGUUGGGAAGAUUCCCAAGGAAGCCGCAAGCCUAUUAACUUCCAAAUUUCGGGGGAGAUUUGAAAUUCAAAAUCUUUUCCUUAUUGACAAAGUUGCGAUCUCAGCGGAUCUCCUCCAUUUAAGGGAAUAAAAUCUCCAAAGUCGGGCGAGAAUCCGCAUUAGUUAUCCCGGGCGCCAUAAAUGGAAACUUUAGGAGAUCCAGAACUCCAUCCGGAACCUCACCAUAAAAUUCACGCCAGCAUCAAGCCUGCUUCCAC